GCCCCCAUCGUCCAGAGGCCUAGGACAUCGCCCUUUCAAGGCGGAAACACGGGUUCGAAUCCCGUUGGGGGUG
rnacentral:tRNA from 1 species